ACAAUGGACGCAAGUCUGAUCCAGCCAUGCCGCGUGCGGGAAGAAGGCCUUCGGGUUGUAAACCGCUUUUGUCAGGGAAGAAAUCUUCUGGGUUAAUACCUCGGGAGGAUGACGGUACCUGAAGAAUAAGCACCGGCUAACUACGUGCCAGCAGCCGCGGUAAUACGUAGGGUGCAAGCGUUAAUCGGAAUUACUGGGCGUAAAGCGUGCGCAGGCGGUUUUGUAAGACAGAGGUGAAAAUCCCCGGGCUCAACCUGGGAACUGCCUUUGUGACUGCAAGGCUUGAGUGCGGCAGAGGGGGAUGGAAUUCCGCGUGUAGCAGUGAAAUGCGUAGAUAUGCGGAGGAACACCGAUGGCGAAGGCAAUCCCCCUGGGCCUGCACUGACGCUCAUGCACGAAAGCGUGGGGGAGC
rnacentral:rRNA from 1 species